rnacentral:rRNA from 1 species
CUGGCGGCGUGCCUAACACAUGCAAGUCGAGCGAGGAGAGUCCUUCGGGAUGAUCCUAGCGGCGGACGGGUGAGUAACACGUGGGCAACCUGCCUCAUAGAGAGGAAUAGCCUUCCGAAAGGGAGAUUAAUACCUCAUAACAUUGCAGUUUCGCAUGGAACAGCAAUUAAAGGAGCAAUCCGCUAUGAGAUGGGCCCGCGGCGCAUUAGCUAGUUGGUGAGGUAACGGCUCACCAAGGCGACGAUGCGUAGCCGACCUGAGAGGGUGAUCGGCCACAUUGGGACUGAGACACGGCCCAGACUCCUACGGGAGGCAGCAGUGGGGAAUAUUGCACAAUGGGGGAAACCCUGAUGCAGCCAACGCCGCGUGAGUGAUGACGGCCUUCGGGUUGUAAAGCUCUGUCUUCAGGGACGAUAAUGACGGUACCUGAGGAGGAAGCCACGGCUAACUACGUGCCAGCAGCAGC